AAACUUUGUAAUGAUUAAAAGUUAAUUUAGGUUAAACUUUAGUAUGGUGAUUAAAGUAAAAAAGAGUUCAAAAAUAUUUUUAAUCUUUUUUAACCCAGCAAGAAACAUUAAACUAUAUUAGAAAUAAUAAUUUAAUUGAGCCUAAAAACCUGGACUAAUUAGGUGCCAGCAGUCGCGGUCACACCUAACAGGUAAAUUAAUUUUUUUAGAUUAGCUUAAGAAAAGAAGUUUUAUAUUUAGGUGAAAUUAUUAUAAAAAUUAAUAUUAUAUUUCUAUAAUUAUGCUCAAGCUCUAAAUAUAAACUAGGAUUAGAUACCCUACUAUAUAGAGUAUAAAUUUUAUAUCUAAGCACUAUGACUAAAAAGUUAAAACUUAAACUACAUGGCGGCAGCCAGAAAUUUCAGGGGAACUUGCCGGAUAAAUGACAGCCCUCAAAAUAACGCCACUCUUAUUCAAAGUUUGUAUAUCGCCGUCUUCAGCAUUCAUUUCAGAUGAAUUCAAAACGUUUAAUAACAAAAAGACAGGUUCUGAUGCAGCCUAUAUAAGAGCCUAGGUGAGUUACAAUAAAAAUUAAAUUUGGAACCGUUCUGAAAUUAACUGKUAAAAAUGGACUUGAAAGUAAUAGUUGUAAUAUUUGUUAAUUGAAUCAAAAAAUCUGGCUGUGUACAAAUCGCCCGUCACUUUCGUUGAAAAAUGAAAUAAGUCGUAACAUAGUAGGUGUACUGGAAAGUGCACCU
rnacentral:ncRNA from 1 species